rnacentral:rRNA from 1 species
AUUGAACGCUAGCGGGAUGCUUUACACAUGCAAGUCGAACGAGUGGCGGACGGGUGAGUAAUAUAUCGGAACGUGCCCAGUAGCGGGGGAUAACUACUCGAACGAGUGGAUACUACCGCAAACUAUUGGAGCGGCCGAUAUCGGAUUAGCUAGUUGGUGGGGUACAGGCUCACCAAGGCAACGAUCCGUAGCUGGUUUGAGAGGACGACCAGCCACACUGGGACUGAGACACGGCCCAGACUCCUACGGGAGGCAGCAGUGGGGAAUUUUGGACAAUGGGGGAAACCCUGAUCCAGCCAUCCCGCGUGUAUGAGAAGGCCUUCGGUUUGUAAAGUACUUUUGUCAGAGAAGCGGUAUCUACAGAAUAAGCACCGGCUAACUACGUGCCAGCAGCCGCGGUAAUAC